rnacentral:rRNA from 1 species
UACGGAGGGGGCUAGCGUUGUUCGGAAUUACUGGGCGUAAAGCGCACGUAGGCGGCUUUGUAAGUUAGAGGUGAAAGCCCAGGGCUUAACCCUGGAAUUGCCUUUAAGACUGCAUCGCUAGAAUCGUGGAGAGGUGAGUGGAAUUCCGAGUGUAGAGGCGAAAUUCGUAGAUAUUCGGAAGAACACCAGUGGCGAAGGCGACUCACUGGACACGUAUUGACGCUGAGGUGCGAAAGCUAGGGGAGCAAACAGG